rnacentral:rRNA from 1 species
GAAUAUUAGUCAAUGAUCGAAAGAUUGAUCUAGUUACUUAGAAAGAUGAAGAUUAUAAUAUAUAAAAGAAAGAAAAUAAUAAUGAAGAAUAUAAAAUCAAUGUAUAUAUAUAAGAAUAAUGAUGAAUAUAUAUAUAGAAGUCUUAACCAAAAUUAGUGCCAGCAGUUGCGGCUAAACUAAGGAGGCAAACGUUAAUCAUUAAUGGCUUAAAGGAUCCGUAGAAUGAUAUAUAGAAAUAUAUAUUAGAGUUAAAUAGAAUAAUAAUGAAAAAUUAUAUAGAGAGAUGAAAUGCGUGGAAAAUAAUUAGACAAAUAAACGUGAAGAUAAAAUUAAAAAUUUAACUGACAUUGAGGGAUGAAGGCAUGAGUAGCAAAACGGAUUAGAUACCCGAGUAGUUCAUGCAGUAAACGAUGAAUACUAUAAAAUGAAAAAGAAAUAAGCGAAAGCUAAAGUAUUCCGCCAGGAGAGUAUAGCUUCAAAGUAGAAAUCCAAGACAAUAGACGGUUACAGUUGUAGGCAGUGGAUUGUGUUAUUUAAU